AGGGGUAUAGCUCAAUGGUAGAGCACUUGCCUGGCAUGUGUGAGGCCCUGGAUCCAAUCUCCAGUAGUACUA
rnacentral:tRNA from 1 species